AUACUGACACUCAGAUGCGAAAGCGUGGGGAGCAAACAGGAUUAGAUACCCUGGUAGUCCACGCCGUAAACGAUGUCUACUUGGAGGUUGUGGCCUUGAGCCGUGGCUUUCGGAGCUAACGCGUUAAGUAGACCGCCUGGGGAGUACGGUCGCAAGAUUAAAACUCAAAUGAAUUGACGGGGGCCCGCACAAGCGGUGGAGCAUGUGGUUUAAUUCGAUGCAACGCGAAGAACCUUACCUACUCUUGACAUCCAGAGAACUUUCCAGAGAUGGAUUGGUGCCUUCGGGAACUCUGAGACAGGUGCUGCAUGGCUGUCGUCAGCUCGUGUUGUGAAAUGUUGGGUUAAGUCCCGCAACGAGCGCAACCCUUAUCCUUGUUUGCCAGCGAGUAAUGUCGGGAACUCCAGGGAGACUGCCGGUGAUAAACC
rnacentral:rRNA from 2 species